rnacentral:lncRNA from 1 species
UACUAACUGUUCAACAAAUGUGAAUAUUAUUGUUUAAUAACUUGACAGCUAUUUAAAACUAAAACCAAAGUCCUCCACCUGCUGGCUUUUUAAUCCCAACUUCUCCUUCAGCACCUCUUUGUUUUUUCCAGAGUCUGCAGUCAUUUGGAUGCUUGUCAUCUGCAUUAAUCUUAGUCUCUUCUCUCUUGAGAUCUCUACACCACCUUCCCAAACCAUUACCUUGAGGGUAAAAUUCGUACACAAAUAAAGGAGAAUGAUGGGUGUGAUGGAAGGUCUAGGUACCAGGCGGGGAAGCUGAACAUGGAAGAAAGCCUUCUGAAGAUUACAAGCUUCUUCCUUUAUGGAGUUUUGAGUGAUCCAGGAAACAUCAUGACCUCAAAGUUUUUGUUUGGAGCAUAAGGCUGGCAAGCUUUGUAUAUGGCCCUCGCUAUAUUUUUAGAAAUUCUUUGCUCUCAUUGGGCAUUUAUUUGUUUGGCGUGAUUUCAGAUGGGACAGAGACUGAAAUCUGGGAUCCUGUGGUUUGGUAAUGUGGUCAUGUGUCUAAGACAUUCAAUUCCACAAGACCAGAGUCUGACUGUCUAUAUACAAAGGGAAGUGCCUAGGAGGGGAAACUUGCUUCUGUACAAAUAGUAAAGCCAGCCCAGAGCCUGGCUUCUUUACAAGUCUUUUUGUUCUACAGAGAUUUUAUUCUACUGUAAUGUAUUGGCAACUGCAAAUUUUAUACAUGCCCAUUUAUUUGCUGUUAUGCUGUGAUAUGGUUAAAUUCAAAUCUCAUCUUGAAUUAUAAUCCUGAUAAUCCCCACAUGUUGUGGGAGGGAUCCGGUGGUAGGUAAUUGAAUCAUGGGGGCAGUUUACCCCAUGCUCUUCUUGUGAUAGUGAGUGAGUUCUCACAAGAUCUGGUGGCUUUUUAAGUGUCUGGCAUUUCCCCUGCUGGCACUCAUUCUCUCUCCUACUGUCCUAUGAAGAGGUGCCUUCCACCAUGAUUGUAAAUUUCCUGAGGCCUCCCCAGCCAUGCGGAACUGUGAGUCAAUUAAAC